rnacentral:rRNA from 1 species
UACGAAGGGUGCAAGCGUUAAUCGGAAUUACUGGGCGUAAAGGGUGCGUAGGCGGCUGUUUAAGUCUGUCGUGAAAUCUCCGGGCUCAACCUGGGAAUGGCGAUGGAUACUGGGCAGCUAGAGUGUGUCAGAGGAUGGUGGAAUUCCCGGUGUAGCGGUGAAAUGCGUAGAGAUCGGGAGGAACAUCAGUGGCGAAGGCGGCCAUCUGGGACAACACUGACGCUGAAGCACGAAAGCGUGGGGAGCAAACAGG